GCGGUUAUCCAGCAAUGGAUGACUGAGUGGCGAACGGGUGAGUAACACGUGGGUGACCUACCUUCGAGUGGGGGAUAACGUCCCGAAAGGGACGCUAAUACCGCAUAACAUCCUGCCUUUGAACAGGCGGAGAUCAAAGCCGGGGAUCGUAAGACCUGGCGUUUGAAGAGGGGCCCGCGUCCGAUUAGCUAGUUGGUGAGGUAACGGCCCACCAAGGCGACGAUCGGUAACCGGCCUGAGAGGGCGGACGGUCACACUGGGACUGAGACACGGCCCAGACUCCUACGGGAGGCAGCAGUGGGGAAUUGUUCGCAAUGGGCGCAAGCCUGACGACGCAACGCCGCGUGGAGGAUGAAGGUCUUCGGAUUGUAAACUCCUGUUGCCAGGGACGAAAAGCUUCGACCUAAUACGUCGAGGUCUGACGGUACCUGGUGAGGAAGCCCCGGCUAACUCUGUGCCAGCAGCCGCGGUAAUACAGAGGGGGCAAGCGUUGUUCGGAAUUACUGGGCGUAAAGGGCGCGUAGGCGGCCUGUUAAGUCGAACGUGAAAUCCCCGGGCUCAACCCGGGAACUGCGUCCGAUACUGGCAGGCUUGAAUCCGGGAGAGGGAUGUGGAAUUCCAGGUGUAGCGGUGAAAUGCGUAGAUAUCUGGAGGAACACCGGUGGCGAAGGCGGCAUCCUGGACCGGUAUUGACGCUGAGGCGCGAAAGCCAGGGGAGCAAACGGGAUUAGA
rnacentral:rRNA from 1 species